CCACACUGUAAACGAUGAUUGCUAGGUGUAGGAGGUAAUAAUCCUUCUGUGCCGGAGUUAACGCAAUAAGCAAUCCACCUGGGGAGUACGGUCGCAAGACUGAAACUCAAAGGAAUUGACGGGGGCCCGCACAAGCAGUGGAUUAUGUGGUUUAAUUCGAAGCAACGCGAAGAACCUUACCAGGACUUGACAUACUAGUGCCAGGUAUAGAGAUAUACCCUUAUCUUAGAUACACUAAUACAGGUGGUGCAUGGUUGU
rnacentral:rRNA from 1 species